rnacentral:rRNA from 1 species
AUGUUAGGAGAAAACAUCAACUUUCUUUGCUGGAAUGUAAGGGGCCUAAACUGUGUCAAUCGGCGUUCCACCGUCCAUGAGACCAUUGAGGCAACAACCUGUGAUGUAGCCUGCCUACAGGAGACCAAACUUGAUCAUAUGGACCAAUUCAUUGCCUCUUACCUGGGUGGUAAUAGGCUCCGCAGCUUUGCUCAUCGGCCAGCUACUGGCACUAGGGGUGGCAUACUGAUGUUAUGGGACGACAAUGCGGUCCAGAUUUCGGACGUGGUCAGCACCGUCUACUGUCUCUCGGCCAUGGUUCUCAUACGUGCAACUGGGAAUAUGUUCAAGAUCACUACGGUGUAUGGCCCAACUGAACCUUCUUGCAAAGACGCAUUCUUUGCGGAACUGCUCGCCCAAAAGCCAGCGCCCGGGAUCAAAUGGCUCGCGUUGGGCGACUUCAAUCAAAUCUAUCGCGCUAGGGACAAAAAUAAGCGAUCAAUCAAUCGCUCACGCAUCAACCGUUUUCGCAAUGCCCUUCAUGCUUGUGAGCUCAACGAAAUACAUCUUCAGAACCGCAAGUUCACUUGGAGCAAUGAAAGGGAUAACCCGACUCUGUGCAAGUUAGAUGCAUUUUUUUGCAACGUCGACUGAGACACUUCCUUCAGCACUCAUGUGCUGCAUGCCCUCUCCUCAUCGCUGUCCGACCAUUGUCCCCUUCUUCUUGCGGAUGAUAGUGGGCCCCGUAGGCCUCGAACCUUCAAAUUCGAGAAUUUUUGGACGUCCAUGCCGGGAUUUAAUGAGGUGGUGCUUAACGCUUGGAAUGAAGAUUGCCAUCAUUUAGAGCCUUAUCAGAGGCUUUUUCACAAGCUCAAGAAGACAGGGCUAAGACUCACUGAAUGGAGUAGGAAAUUAUUCUCCAGCUCUAAGCUGCACCUCCAUGCCGCUCUGCUCACGAUCCUUCGGCUGGACACUGCUCAGGAGGGGUGUGCGCUCUCCAUCCCUGAGCAAGAUCUGCGGACCAAGCUCAAACGGAGGGUCGUGAGUUUGGCGGUAUUAGAGAGAGCAAGGAAGAAGCAAUGUGCGAGAAUUUUCAAUCUGAGAGAGGGUGGCGCC